AUAUCAAUAAGCGGAGGAAAAGAAACCAACAGGGAUUGCCUCAGUAACGGCGAGUGAAGCGGCAAAAGCUCAAAUUUGAAAUCUGGCCUCUGGUCCGAAUUGUAAUUUGAAGAAGCGACUUUGGUACCGGCUCUUGUCUAUGUUCCUUGGAACAGGACGUCACAGAGGGUGAGAAUCCCGUGCGAUGAGAUGCUCCGGUGCUAUGUAAAGCGUUUUCGACGAGUCGAGUUGUUUGGGAAUGCAGCUCUAAGUGGGUGGUAAAUUCCAUCUAAAGCUAAAUAUUGGCGAGAGACCGAUAGCGAACAAGUACAGUGAUGGAAAGAUGAAAAGAACUUUGAAAAGAGAGUGAAAAAGUACGUGAAAUUGUUGAAAGGGAAGGGCUUGAGAUCAGACUUUGUAUUUCCAUGGCGCUCUUUCGGGGGUGUCCUCUGGGUUUACAGGGCCAGCAUGGGUUCUGCGGGCGAGACAAGGUUCUAGGAAUGUGGCUCUGCUUCGGUGGAGUGUUAUAGCCUGGGGUACUAGUCGCCACGCGGGACCGAGGACUGCGAUUCUAGGAUGCUGGCAUAAUGAUC
rnacentral:rRNA from 1 species